AUUGAACGCUGGCGGCAGGCCUAACACAUGCAAGUCGAACGAGUGGCGGACGGGUGAGUAAUGUCUGGGAAACUGCCUGAUGGAGGGGGAUAACUACUGGAAACGGUAGCUAAUACCGCAUACCAUCAGAUGUGCCCCGAUGGGAUUAGCUAGUUGGUGGCGUACCGGGUCACCAAGGCGACGAUCCCUAGCUGGUCUGAGAGCAUGACCAGCCACACUGGAACUGAGACACGGUCCAUAGUCCUACGGGAGGAAGGAGUGGGGAAUAUUGCACAAUGGGCGAAAGCCUGAUGCAGCCAUGCCGCGUGUAUGAAGAAGGCCUUCGGUUUGUCAAGUACUUUCAGCGGGGAGGCGUUACCCGCAGAAGAAGCACCGGCUAACUCCGUGCCAGCAGCCGCGGUAAUAC
rnacentral:rRNA from 1 species